AGAACUGUCAAAGUAUUUUGGGAAAAAAAAAAAUCUGUUCUUAUCAGUUUAAUAUCUGAUACGUCCCCUAUCUGGGGACCAUAUACAGUAUUAAAUUGAUUUUUGGAACAGGGAGAUGGAAUAGGGGCUUGCUCCGUCCACUCCAUGCAUCAACCUGGUAUUGCAGUGUCUCCAGGAAUGGUGCACCCUUU
ensembl:snRNA U2 U2 spliceosomal RNA